AAUAAGUUUUAUUCUUUUUUUUUUUUUUGUUAUUUAAUUGAUUUAUAUGUUUAGUUUUUAUUUUUAUUUUUCAGUAAUUUAUUUUAUUAUUAAUUAUUAUUAUUUAUUUAGCAAUUUAUUAUUUGAUUGAUUAAUCUUGUGCCAGCAUUCGCGGUUAUACAUUUAAUUUUAAUUAAAAUUUUAGGUUUUUAAGAUUUUUGUACUGAUUAUUAUUUUUUAUAUUUAGGUUAAAUUUAUAUAUUUUUAUUAAUAUUCUUUUUUUUUUUUAUUAAUUUAUUUGUUUAGACUAGGAUUAGAUACCCUAUUAUAUUUAAUUAUUUUUUUUCUGAGUAUUAAAAGUUAUGUUCUUUAAAAUUCGAAGAAUUUGGCGGUUAUUUUAAACUUUUUAGAGGAAUAUGUAGUAUAAUUGAUAAUCCACGAUAUUUUCUACUUAAUUUUAUAUUUGUAUACCUCCAUUGUUUAUUAUGAAUAUUUUUUUAUAAUUAUUUUCUUUUUUCUUAUAGAUUAAAUUUUAGGUCAAGGUGCAGUUUUAUUUAAGUAAUUAUGUAUUACUAUAAUUUUAAAUUUUUUUUUUUUUUAUGUCUUUUUGUGUAUUAUAUUUUAGGAUUUAAUAGUAAUUUUAAUUAAUUAUUUAAUUUGAAUUUAGUUCUAAAUAAUGUACAUAUCGCCCGUCACUCCUAAUAAUAGGAUAAGUCGUAACAAAGUAGAAUUAUUGGAAAUUGAUUCUAGAAUAAUUU
rnacentral:rRNA from 1 species